rnacentral:rRNA from 1 species
AUUGAACGCUGGCGGAAUGCUUUACACAUGCAAGUCGAGCGGCAGCGCGGGGCAACCUGGCGGCGAGCGGCGAACGGGUGAGUAACAUAUCGGAACGUACCCCGUCGUGGGGGAUAACUACCCGAAAGGGUAGCUAAUACCGCAUACGACCUGUGGGUGAAAGGGGGGGAUCGCAAGACCUCUCGCGAUGGGAGCGGCCGAUAUCGGAUUAGCUAGUUGGUGAGGUAAAGGCUCACCAAGGCGACGAUCCGUAGCUGGUCUGAGAGGACGACCAGCCACACUGGAACUGAGACACGGUCCAGACUCCUACGGGAGGCAGCAGUGGGGAAUUUUGGACAAUGGGGGCAACCCUGAUCCAGCCAUUCCGCGUGAGUGAAGAAGGCCUUCGGGUUGUAAAGCUCUUUCGGCAGGAACGAAACGGUGAGGGCUAAUAUCCCUUAUCAAUGACGGUACCUGAAGAAGAAGCACCGGCUAACUACGUGCCAGCCGCCGCGGUAA